UUCGUAGGUGACAAGCGUUGUCCGGAUUUACUGGGCGUAAAGAGCGCGCAGGCGGUCGUUCAAGUCGAGUGUGAAAGCCCCCGGCUCAACUGGGGAGGGUCACUCGAUACUGAUCGACUCGAAGGCAGGAGAGGGAAGUGGAAUUCCCGGUGUAGUGGUGAAAUGCGUAGAUAUCGGGAGGAACACCAGUGGCGAAGGCGACUUCCUGGCCUGUUCUUGACGCUGAGGCGCGAAAGCUAGGGGAGCAAACGGG
rnacentral:rRNA from 1 species